UACGUAGGUGACAAGCGUUGUCCGGAUUUACUGGGCGUAAAGAGCGCGCAGGCGGUCGAUCAAGUCGAGUGUGAAAGCCCCCGGCUCAACUGGGGAGGGUCAUUCGAUACUGAUCGACUCGAAGGCAGGAGAGGGUAGUGGAAUUCCCGGUGUAGUGGUGAAAUGCGUAGAUAUCAGGAGGAACACCGGUGGCGAAGGCGGUUCUCUGGGCCUUACCUGACGCUGAGGAGCGAAAGCAUGGGGAGCAAACAGG
rnacentral:rRNA from 1 species